AGCGAACGCUGGCGGCAGGCCUAACACAUGCAAGUCGAACGAACUCUUCGGAGUUAGUGGCGGACGGGUGAGUAACACGUGGGAACGUGCCUUUAGGUUCGGAAUAACUCAGGGAAACUUGUGCUAAUACCGAAUGCGCCCUUCGGGGGAAAGAUUUAUCGCCUUUAGAGCGGCCCGCGUCUGAUUAGCUAGUUGGUGAGGUAAAGGCUCACCAAGGCGACGAUCGGUAGCUGGUCUGAGAGGAUGACCAGCCACAUUGGGACUGAGACACGGCCCAAACUCCUACGGGAGGCAGCAGUGGGGAAUCUUGCGCAAUGGGCGAAAGCCUGACGCAGCCAUGCCGCGUGGAUGAUGAAGGUCUUAGGAUUGUAAAAUCCUUUCACCGGUGAAGAUAAUGACUGUAGCCGGAGAAGAAGCCCCGGCUAACUUCGUGCCAGCCGCCGCCGUAAGAC
rnacentral:rRNA from 1 species